rnacentral:rRNA from 1 species
ACGCUCGACACCUACGGGGGGCAGCAGUUGGGAAUAUUGGACAAUGGAGGAAACUCUGAUCCAGUGACGCCGCGUGAAGGAAGAAGGUCUUCGGAUUGUAAACUUAUUUUGUCAGGGAAGAAAAAAUGACUGUACCUGAAGAAAAAGCACCGGCUAACUACGUGCCGGCAGCCGCGGUAAUCUGAGCGGGCUGGCAAGGC